GUUACUCCCUGUGGUCGUCUUCCACGUUGUGGAAGGUUUGUUGUUUCGCUUCUUGCAAUAAAUCUUGCUACUGCUUGCCGUUUGGGUUCAGGCUGCUUUUAUGAGCUGUAACACUCACUGCAAAGGUGUGCAGCUUCACUGCUGAAGCCGUUGAGACCACGAAUCCACCGGGUGGAACGAACAACUCCAGACGUGCCACCUUAAGAGUUGUAACACUCACCUCGAACGUCUGCAGCUUCACUCCUGAAGCCAGCAAGACCACGAACCCACCAGAAGGAAGAAACUCCGAACAUAUCCUAAAGUCAGAAGGAACAAAUUCCGUAUACGCUGCCUUUAAGAACUGUUAACACUCACCGUGAGGCUCCGCGGCUUCAUUCUUGAAGUCAGUGGGACCAAGAACCCGCCAAUUCCGGACCCAGGAUUACAGAUUUACAUUGAUCAUCCACUAUGUUCCAGAUACUACAUGAUACUAACAAGACAACAGGAGAAGUGAUAUCAAAAGACAACGACUACACCAAAAUUUGGAGAAAAAGGUGAAUCCAGACAGUCACAGUUUCUUUGCAAACCAGCUUGAAUAGAGAAGAAUGGGAGAACAGUUCACUGAAAUUCACAAGAUCUGAA
rnacentral:lncRNA from 1 species